AGAACGAACGCUGGCGGCAGGCCUAACACAUGCAAGUCGAACGCCCUAGCAAUAGGGAGUGGCGCACGGGUGAGUAACGCGUGGGAAUGUACCCUUGGGUGCGGAACAACGUCGGGAAACUGACGCUAAUACCGCAUAAUAUCUACGGAUCAAAGAUUUAUCGCCCAAGGAUCAGCCCGCGUAAGAUUAGGUAGUUGGUGGGGUAAUGGCCUACCAAGCCUACGAUCUUUAGCUGGUCUUAGAGGAUGAUCAGCCACACUGGAACUGAGACACGGUCCAGACUCCUACGGGAGGCAGCAGUGAGGAAUCUUGGACAAUGGGCGAAAGCCUGAUCCAGCCAUGCCGCGUGAGUGAUGAAGGCCUUCGGGUUGUAAAGACUCUUUCUAGAUGUGAAGAAUAAAUAGACGGUAGACAUCAGAAAGAAGACUUCCGGCUAACUCCGUGCCAGCAGCCGC
rnacentral:rRNA from 1 species